rnacentral:rRNA from 1 species
GACGAACGCUGGCGGCGUGCCUAAUACAUGCAAGUCGAACGCUGAAGGAGGAGCUUGCUUCUCUGGAUGAGUUGCGAACGGGUGAGUAACGCGUAGGUAACCUGCCUGGUAGCGGGGGAUAACUAUUGGAAACGAUAGCUAAUACCGCAUAAUAUUGACUAUUGCAUGAUAGUCAGUUGAAAGGUGCAACUGCACCACUACCAGAUGGACCUGCGUUGUAUUAGCUAGUUGGUGGGGUAACGGCUCACCAAGGCGACGAUACAUAGCCGACCUGAGAGGGUGAUCGGCCACACUGGGACUGAGACACGGCCCAGACUCCUACGGGAGGCAGCAGUAGGGAAUCUUCGGGAAUGGACGGAAGUCUGACCGAGCAACGCCGCGUGAGUGAAGAAGGUUUUCGGAUCGUAAAGCUCUGUUGUAAGAGAAGAACGAGUGUGAGAGUGGAAAGCUCACACUGUGACGGUAUCUGACCAGAAAGGGACGGCUAACUACGUG